GGCUUCCUGGUGCUUGCCACAGGCUGUGUUCUUACACUGACUGUAUAGAAAGAGGAGGCAAAGUAAACCCACACCAUAUACAACUCAGCCCAAGCUCUGUGUCUGGUCUGUGUUAUGAAUGGGGGGACAUGG